rnacentral:rRNA from 1 species
CGAAUGCUGACGUGAGUAACGACAAAACGGGUGAAAAACCCGUUCGCCGAAAGACCAAGGGUUCCAGUCCAACGUUAAUCGGGGCUGGGUGAGUCGACCCCUAAGGCGAGGCCGAAAGGCGUAGUCGAUGGGAAAAUGGUUAAUAUUCCAUUACUUCUGUGUAAUGCGAUGAGAGGACGGAGAAGGCUAAAUCAGCCUGGCGUUGGUUGUCCAGGUGAAAGGAUGUAGGCAUGUAUCUUAGGCAAAUCCGGGGUACUCUAUGCUGAGAUCUGAUAGCAAGCUGUACUUGUACAGCGAAGUGGUUGAUGCCAUGCUUCCAGGAAAAGUCUCUAAGCUUCAGUUACACAGGAAUCGUACCCGAAACCGACACAGGUGGUCAGGUCGAGUAGACCAAGGCGCUUGAGAGAACUCUGCUGAAGGAACUAGGCAAAAUGGUACCGUAACUUCGGGAGAAGGUACGCUGUUGUUGGUGAUGGAACUCGCUUCCUGAGCUGACGACAGCCGCAGAAACCAGGCCGCUGCAACUGUUUAUUAAAAACAUAGCACUCUGCAAACACGAAAGUGGACGUAUAGGGUGUGAUGCCUGCCCGGUGCUGGAAGGUUAAUUGAUGGGGUUAGCGUAAGCGAAGCUCUUGAUCGAAGCCCCAGUAAACGGCGGCCGUAACUAUAACGGUCCUAAGGUAGCGAAAUUCCUUGUCGGGUAAGUUCCGACCUGCACGAAUGGCAUAAUGAUGGCGGCGCUGUCUCCAGCAGAGGCUCAGUGAAAUCGAAAUCGCUGUGAAGAUGCAGUGUACCCGCGGCUAGACGGAAAGACCCCGUGAACCUUUACUGCAGCUUGACACUGAACUUUGACCUUACUUGUGUAGGAUAGGUGGGAGGCUUUGAAGCUGGAACGCUAGUUCCAGUGGAGCCGUCCUUGAAAUACCACCCUGGUAAUGUUGAGGUUCUAACUCUGUCCCGUGAUCCGGGACGAGGACCGUGUCUGGUGGGUAGUUUGACUGGGGCGGUCUCCUCCUAAAGAGUAACGGAGGAGUACGAAGGUGCGCUCAGCGUGGUCGGAAAUCACGCGUAGAGUAUAAAGGCAAAAGCGCGCUUAACUGCGAGACCCACAAGUCGAGCAGGUACGAAAGUAGGUCUUAGUGAUCCGGUGGUUCUGUAUGGAAGGGCCAUCGCUCAACGGAUAAAAGGUACUCUGGGGAUAACAGGCUGAUACCGCCCAAGAGUUCAUAUCGACGGCGGUGUUUGGCACCUCGAUGUCGGCUCAUCUCAUCCUGGGGCUGAAGCAGGUCCCAAGGGUAUGGCUGUUCGCCAUUUAAAGAGGUACGCGAGCUGGGUUUAGAACGUCGUGAGACAGUUCGGUCCCUAUCUACCGUGGGCGCUGGAAAUUUGAGAGGAUCUGCUCCUAGUACGAGAGGACCAGAGUGGACGAACCUCUGGUGUACCGGUUGUGACGCCAGUC